CGUCAUCGAGGGUGAAGCCGCUGGGGGUCUCUUUGUCGCGGAGUUUCUGGUACAGGGCGGGGGUCAGGACCUUGGCCAUGUGAUUGUUGUGCUUGGACAGGUCCGGGAACUCCUCCUCGGCCGAGAACUUGAGCUUGUACUUGUUGUGGGUGUUGCUGAACGGCAUCUUGGGGACACCAGGACACUGUGGGGACAGGGACAGGGUCAGGGGACACGGGGACAGGGAUCAGGGAACU